rnacentral:snRNA from 1 species
GUAUUCGUUAAUGCAUAUACUAAAAUUGGAACGAUACAGAGAACAUAAGCAUGGCCCCUGCGCAAGGAUGACACGCAAAUUCGUGAAGCGUUCCUUAUUUUU